GGAAGCUCCGUCAGGUGAACAAGCCUUGUGCAUGUCCAGGUAUAAAAGCAGGACGGCGCCUCGCAGCUCACCAAACACACCUGCUCCACCACAGCUCAGCCUUGCCUCAUUCCCUCACUGGACGCCAUGCGAGCACUGACCCUCUUGUUGAUGGUGGCCGUGGCUCUGACGGCGCUGGUGGUAGUACAGGCCAUGCCAGAACCCCUCCCUGAUCCAGACCCUGAGGCCCUCCCAAACCCAGAGGCGUUCCCUGACCCAGAGGCCUUCCCUAAUCACGGCAGGCGAUAUGGCGGCCGAUACGGUAGCCAUGGACAUCGAUACGGCAGCCGUUACCACUAGCCCCCUUACCGCCGCCCACACAGCCACGUCCACUACACUACCUACCACUGAAGACCACACGAGACAGACCAGGACACCGGAAUAAGCAAGCAUUGAAUUAUUAAGGACUCUCCUACACCACAAAACUUCAGGCAUCUUCACCGCCUCCACCAUUCCUCUUAAAUAUGAUUCUAUGAACCACAAAAAAAAAUAAUAAAUAAAUAAAUAAAUAAAUAAAUAAAUAAAUAAACUAAAUCA